UUCUUACUGAGAAUGGCACUGAAAGAAUUCACGGGUUUUUUUUUAUUGAGUUUACCGUGAUUCUCUAGUGCCAUACUCAGUGGGCU
rfam:Rhodnius prolixus Rhodnius_prolixus-3.0.3-299.37, whole genome shotgun sequence.